CUCUUCCUCACUACGGGGAACUCUGAGAGAAGACGUCAAACCCCUUCUUGGCAGUUUAUCUCAAUAAAGCUGUACUAUCCCAGCCAUCUGGAGGGACCUAACCCACACUUUAUUUACUUAUAUGAUAAGUUUAGUGGAGUGUAGUGCAAAAUACACAGUGUUUACUUUUAAUUUAACAACAUGAAGCUGCAUCAAGUUUCCAUGGUGACUGCUCAAGAAAUUCUGCAUUCAUAAAUAAACAUCAGACUGUCAAAAGAGCUCAUCUGUGCGAGACCACCGAGCUGAGAGCAUUUUCAGGUCCAGAUCCCCCGUACGCCAUCGUUGGAGAGCAGUUGACGUUUUUCUUCCUGACUUUGAUUUGAACACGUUUAAAUGGAAAAGAGUCAAGGAAUCUAUAAGCCUAUCAGGGUGUUGUUCAACACACCGAUUUAUGAAACAGCUGUAAAGAUCUGCUGGUAUCUUCCGGGCUACAAGGCUCAGGUUGCGAUAAUGACGGAGUUUCUCAGACUUCAGCAGGAAGAUCUAAUUCCACCGAACCUCACUGCUGAAGAUCUGAGAGAUCUUUUGGUGGAGAAGAGCAGGGAGACGCUCAGAGAGCAGCUGUGGGAGUUUGAGUUAGAGGAUUUUGACGAAGAGGAAGCCAAACCUCUUCUAAGGCUGGUGUGGGCGGUGAACGUCAGCAAUAAAAUGAGGGACGUUGAAUUUGAAGCCAGGUUGCUUCUUCAGUUCCCAGAGGCCGUACCUCCUAAAUUUCAAGCACCUAAACUCCUCAGCGCGGUGAAGGAUUACGUUGAAAUCCUGAAAAAGAAGCAGCAGGAACAGCCUAACAGCAAACUGCUCACCGCGCAGGAGGUAGUGGUCGAGGUAG
ensembl:lncRNA